GCAUUUGGGUUUCUCUCUCUUCACAUAUUCUGUCUUAUAUAGCUUAAGAUCAUCACUAUCAAGAGAUCUCACCCCAAAAAAAAAAAAUCAUUUCAUUAUCUGGGAGUAGAAAACAAAUAUGGGUUUGAUGAAGAAACUGGGUUUCGUCUUUCUUCUGAUUUCAGCUUCAGCUCUCUCUCUCUCUCUUGCAGGCCGAUCAUCCAUGUUGAUCCAUAAACCACUCGAGCAAACAAAUCCGGUGACUUACCAUCAUGAGGUGGAUACAAGCAUACACGAGAGGAUUCUUAGAAUGAACACAAAUGACUAUGGAAACUACAGUCCAUCACCAAGGCUCGUUAGGCCUCCUUUCAAGUUUAUUCCUAACUGAUGACAUAUAUAUAUAUAUAUAUAUAUAUAUAUAUAUGUAUAUUUACAUAUGUAGUUGGAGUGUAUUAUAUAUAUAUGCGACUACAGUCUAUGCAUAUAUACGCAUGUAUAUAACCUUGGAUGUAAAAAGGUAUUUGAAUCAUAA